rnacentral:rRNA from 1 species
ACGAACGCUGGCGGCGUGCCUAAUACAUGCAAGUAGAACGCUGAAGAGAGGAGCUUGCUCUUCUUGGAUGAGUUGCGAACGGGUGAGUAACGCGUAGGUAACCUGCCUUGUAGCGGGGGAUAACUAUUGGAAACGAUAGCUAAUACCGCAUAACAAUGGAUGACACAUGUCAUUUAUUUGAAAGGGGCAAUUGCUCCACUACAAGAUGGACCUGCGUUGUAUUAGCUAGUAGGUGAGGUAAUGGCUCACCUAGGCGACGAUACAUAGCCGACCUGAGAGGGUGAUCGGCCACACUGGGACUGAGACACGGCCCAGACUCCUACGGGAGGCAGCAGUAGGGAAUCUUCGGCAAUGGGGGCAACCCUGACCGAGCAACGCCGCGUGAGUGAAGAAGGUUUUCGGAUCGUAAAGCUCUGUUGUAAGUCAAGAACGGGUGUGAGAGUGGAAAGUUCACACUGUGACGGUAGCUUACCAGAAAGGGACGGCUAACUACGUGCCAGCAGCCGCGGUAAUACGUAGGUCCCGAGCGUUGUCCGGAUUUAUUGGGCGUAAAGCGAGCGCAGGCGGUUUGAUAAGUCUGAAGUUAAAGGCUGUGGCUCAACCAUAGUUCGCUUUGGAAACUGUCAAACUUGAGUGCAGAAGGGGAGAGUGGAAUUCCAUGUGUAGCGGUGAAAUGCGUAGAUAUAUGGAGGAACACCGGUGGCGAAAGCGGCUCUCUGGUCUGUAACUGACGCUGAGGCUCGAAAGCGUGGGGAGCGAACAGGAUUAGAUACCCUGGUAGUCCACGUCGUAAACGAUGAGCGCUAGGCGUUGGACCCUUUCCGUGAUUCAUUGCCGCAGCUAACGCAUUAAGCACUCCGCCUGGGGAGUACGACCGCAAGGUUGAAACUCAAAGGAAUUGACGGGGGCCCGCACAAGCGGUGGAGCAUGUGGUUUAAUUCGAAGCAACGCGAAGAACCUUACCAGGUCUUGACAUCCCGAUGCUAUUUCUAGAGAUAGAAAGUUACUUCGGUACAUCGGUGACAGGUGGUGCAUGGUUGUCGUCAGCUCGUGUCGUGAGAUGUUGGGUUAAGUCCCGCAACGAGCGCAACCCUUACUGUCAGUUACUACGCAAGAGGACUCUGGCAGGACUGCCGUUGACAAAACGGAGGAAGGUGGGGAUGACGUCAAAUCAUCAUGCCCUUUAUGACCUGGGCUACACACGUGCUACAAUGGUUGGUACAACGAGUUGCGAGUCGGUGACGGCGAGCUAAUCUCUUAAAGCCAAUCUCAGUUCGGAUUGUAGGCUGCAACUCGCCUACAUGAAGUCGGAAUCGCUAGUAAUCGCGGAUCAGCACGCCGCGGUGAAUACGUUCCCGGGCCUUGUACACACCGCCCGUCACACCAUGAGAGCCGGGGGGACCCGAAGUCGGUAGUCUAACCGCAAGGAGGACGCCGCCGAAGGUAAAACUGGUGAUUGGGGUG